GACACGAUGGCCGAGUGGUCUAAGGCGGUAGACUUAAGAUGUGGCCGAGUGCCAGUGCUUAGAUCUCUACUACAGAAAUGUGCGUGGGUUCGAACCCCACUCGUGUCA